GUACAUUUCAAUUAAAUUCUUACUUCCGUCUUUAUUGAAAACAUAAUUAUGCUUUCAAAAACCACAAGAGAACUGGCAAGAGUGUGGUGGAGAAACUUGUCACAGCGGCAACGUGCUCUCCGAAGGCUCACAGUCACAGGAAAUGAAUGCAAUUCACAGAGUUUAUCAGAUGGCAAAACAAAAGCACAAACCUUUAUAAGCUUUUCCGCUACGCUGUAAAUUGCACGCUUCUUUUAAUCAGAGUUGACCUGGAUUGUCUGACCUUUUGCUUGCACUUGGAUUUAAGUAAGAAGUCUUGCAUUGGCAGGCGAUACAUCUUUGUUGAGGUUGGUGGUUCUCCCUAACUUUGCAUGAGAGUAUUUCUUCCAAAAUCUAAAUUUCAUGGUGGUAAGAUCUAUUUAACAGGUUUUUAAUUUAAAUUUAACAUUGUAAUAAUGUAAUUUAUUGGUAUACACAAAUAAGAAUAAAAUGUUAGGAAAAUUUUAUAAAUUAGGGUCUUCUAUUAUUUAUAAAACAUUGAUUGAGUAAUA